UGAGGAAUAUUGGUCAAUGGGCGAGAGCCUGAACCAGCCAAAUCGCGUGAAGGAAGACUGCCUUAUGGGUUGCAAACUUCUUUUAUACAGGAAUAAAAAAGGGGACGUGUCCCUUAUUGCAUGUACUGUAUGAAUAAGCAUCGGCUAACUCCGUGCCAGCAGCCGCGGUAAUACGGAGGAUGCGAGCGUUAUCCGGAUUUAUUGGGUUUAAAGGGUGCGCAGGCGGGCUUUUAAGUCAGCGGUGAAAUCUCGGGGCUUAACUCCGAAACUGCCGUUGAAACUGGGAGUCUUGAGUAUGGAUGAAGUAGGCGGAAUUCGUUGUGUAGCGGUGACAUGCUUAGAUAUAACGAGGAACUCCGAUUGCGUAGGCAGCUUACUAAGCCAUAACUGACGCUCAAGCACGAAAGCGUGGGGAUCAAAACAGGAUUAGAUACCCUGGUAGUCCACGCCGUAAAACGAUGAUUACUAGUUGUAUGCGAUAUACCGUAUGUGACUAAGCGAAAAGCGAUAAGUAAUCCACCUGGGGAGUACGCCGGCAACGGUGAAACUCAAAUGAAUUGACGGGGUCAUAGCUGUUUCCUG
rnacentral:rRNA from 1 species